ACCAGGAUGGCCGAGUGGUUAAGGCGUUAUUUAAGGCAAAUGGGCAUAAGCCCUCGUGGGUUCGAACCCCACUCCUGGUA